rnacentral:rRNA from 1 species
AUUGAACGCUGGCGGCAUGCCUUACACAUGCAAGUCGAACGGCAGCACGGGAGCAAUCCUGGUGGCGAGUGGCGAACGGGUGAGUAAAGUAUCGGAACGUGCCCAGUCGUGGGGGAUAACGUAGCGAAAGUUACGCUAAUACCGCAUACGAUCUAUGGAUGAAAGCGGGGGAUCGCAAGACCUCGCGCGAUAGGAGCGGCCGAUGUCAGAUUAGGUAGUUGGUGGGGUAAAGGCUCACCAAGCCGACGAUCUGUAGCUGGUCUGAGAGGACGACCAGCCACACUGGGACUGAGAGACGGCCCAGACUCCUACGGGAGGCAGCAGUGGGGAAUUUUGGACAAUGGGCGCAAGCCUGAUCCAGCCAUGCCGCGUGCAGGAUGAAGGCCUUCGGGUUGUAAACUGCUUUUGUACGGAACGAAAAGGUUUGACUUAAUACGUUGGACUCAUGACGGUACCGUAAGAAUAAGCACCGGCUAACUACGUGCCAGCCGCCGCCGUAA